rnacentral:rRNA from 1 species
AGAGUUUGAUCCUGGCUCAGGAUGAACGCUAGCUACAGGCUUAACACAUGCAAGUCGAGGGGCAGCGGGGAGGAAGCUUGCUUUCUCUGCCGGCGACCGGCGCACGGGUGAGUAACGCGUAUCGAACCUGCCUCAUACUCGGGAAUAGCCUUGCGAAAGUAAGAUUAAUGCCCGAUGUUUUCAGCGGUCCGCAUGAACUGCUGAACAAAGAUUUAUCGGUAUGAGAUGGCGAUGCGUCCCAUUAGCUUGUUGGCGGGGUAACAGCCCACCAAGGCAUCGAUGGGUAGGGGUUCUGAGAGGAAGGUCCCCCACAUUGGAACUGAGACACGGUCCAAACUCCUACGGGAGGCAGCAGUGAGGAAUAUUGGUCAAUGGACGCAAGUCUGAACCAGCCAAGUAGCGUGCAGGAUGACGGCCCUCCGGGUUGUAAACUGCUUUUAGUUGGGAAUAAAGUGCAGCUCGUGAGCUGUUUUGUAUGUACCAUCAGAAAAAGGACCGGCUAAUUCCGUGCCAGCAGCCGCGGUAAUACGGAAGGUCCAGGCGUUAUCCGGAUUUAUUGGGUUUAAAGGGAGCGCAGGCGGACUCUUAAGUCAGUUGUGAAAUACGGCGGCUCAACCGUCGGACUGCAGUUGAUACUGGGAGUCUUGAGUGCACACAGGGAUGCUGGAAUUCAUGGUGUAGCGGUGAAAUGCUCAGAUAUCAUGAAGAACUCCGAUCGCGAAGGCAGGUAUCCGGGGUGCAACUGACGCUGAGGCUCGAAAGUGCGGGUAUCAAACAGGAUUAGAUACCCUGGUAGUCCACGCCGUAAACGAUGAAUGCUAAGUGUUGGAGGGUUUCCGCCCUUCAGUGCUGCAGCUAACGCAAUAAGCAUUCCGCCUGGGGAGUACGACCGCAAGGUUGAAACUCAAAGGAAUUGACGGGGGCCCGCACAAGCGGUGGAGCAUGUGGUUUAAUUCGAAGCAACGCGAAGAACCUUACCAGGUCUUGACAUCUUCUGACAAUCCUAGAGAUAGGACUUUCCCUUCGGGGACAGAAUGACAGGUGGUGCAUGGUUGUCGUCAGCUCGUGUCGUGAGAUGUUGGGUUAAGUCCCGCAACGAGCGCAACCCUUAUUGUUAGUUGCCAGCAUUAAGUUGGGCACUCUAGCAAGACUGCCGGUGACAAACCGGAGGAAGGUGGGGAUGACGUCAAAUCAUCAUGCCCCUUAUGACCUGGGCUACACACGUGCUACAAUGGACGGUACAACGAGUCGCAAGACCGCGAGGUUUAGCAAAUCUCUUAAAGCCGUUCUCAGUUCGGAUUGUAGGCUGCAACUCGCCUACAUGAAGUCGGAAUCGCUAGUAAUCGCGGAUCAGCAUGCCGCGGUGAAUACGUUCCCGGGCCUUGUACACACCGCCCGUCACACCAUGAGAGUUUGUAACACCCAAAGCCGGUGGGGUAACCUUUUGGAGCCAGCCGUCUAAGGUGGGACAGAUGAUUGGGGUGAAGUCGGAACAAGGUAGCCGUAGGAGAACCUGCGGCUG